GACGAACGCUGGCGGCGUGCUUAACACAUGCAAGUCGAACGGAAAGGCCCUGCUUUUGUGGGGUGCUCGAGUGGCGAACGGGUGAGUAACACGUGAGUAACCUGCCCUUGACUUUGGGAUAACUUCAGGAAACUGGGGCUAAUACCGGAUAGGAGCUCCUGCUGCAUGGUGGGGGUUGGAAAGUUUCGGCGGUUGGGGAUGGACUCGCGGCUUAUCAGCUUGUUGGUGGGGUAGUGGCUUACCAAGGCUUUGAAGGGUAGCCGGCCUGAGAGGGUGACCGGGCACAUUGGGACUGAGAUACGGCCCAGACUCCUACGGGAGGCAGCAGUGGGGAAUAUUGCACAAUGGGCGGAAGCCUGAUGCAGCAACGCCGCGUGCGGGAUGACGGCCUUCGGGUUGUAAACCGCUUUCGCCUGUGACGAAGCGUGAGUGACGGUAAUGGGUAAAGAAGCACCGGCUAACUACGUG
rnacentral:rRNA from 1 species